rnacentral:lncRNA from 1 species
AAUGUGCAACCACUUUACUAUUUUGCCAACUUGUCAAUACAUGUGAAACAGGGGGAGCACAACUUGUAUUCACUGCAUUCAAAAAGUCUGAAAUGAAUUCCAAACCAAAGGGGGAGUAAAAUGAAUGCUGAAUUCAUGGAUGGCAAUAACUUGGAAAUCAUUGAUUGUUUCAUUAUAAUAUGAAUGCUGAAUUCUAAUAGGCAUCGCAUUUUUAGGUACCUAAGAAAAAUUUGUCCCCUUCAUUGUUGAUGACAAAAAGGGGGAGUAGAACCAAUAUAUGGAAUAGAACCAAUAUAUGGAAUGCAAAAUACAAAAUUUACACUCAUACUUAAAAGUUGAAUUAGAAAAGAUAAAAUUGAAGAAUAUUGGCUUUAAGACAAUUGCCCUUCUGGAAAAGAAAGGGGGAGUCAAAAAGUAUUUAGCUCUCAAUUGUCUUUAACAUCAAUAUUUCAUUAAUUUACAUUUUAACUUGAUUCAAAUCCAGUUGAUAUGCCAAAAUUGCUCAAGAGCUACUAAGAUCAAUACUUAUGCAUAAGGAUAGAACUGAAAGUUGACUAUAUUGAAUUAUGCACACUGUAUCUAGCUCUAACCAAAACAUAAUACUUGUACAUCUGAACAAAUACUGUGUAUAUGUUUAAAUUUUAAAUUUUGCAUAUACUCAGUGUUUUGUCAUCAUCAAAAAGGGGGAGAUUGUUGACCCCCUAAUGGAUUUUGAUGAAUACAAAACACUAGAGUAUAAUUCCCUUUAUAUUAACAAUUUAUUUGAGGAUUUCAGGUGUUUAACUAAGAAUAUUGUUAAGAAUUGUCAAGACAUGUUUCCAUAUUUUUCAAGGAUUUAUU